UACAGGGGGGGCAAGCGUUGUUCGGAAUUACUGGGCGUAAAGGGCUCGUAGGUGGCCAACUAAGUCAGACGUGAAAUCCCUCAGCUUAACUGGGGAACUGCGUCUGAUACUGGAUGGCUUGAGUUUGGGAGAGGGAUGCGGAAUUCCAGGUGUAGCGGUGAAAUGCGUAGAUAUCUGGAGGAACACCGGUGGCGAAGGCGGCAUCCUGGACCAAUACUGACACUGAGGAGCGAAAGCCAGGGGAGCAAACCGG
rnacentral:rRNA from 1 species